AAAUGAUGAAAUACCAGCUGGCACCAGGCUGAGAAGAUUUGUACUCUUUAAAUGCGGAUCAGCUUAUAACGGCAUUGCGCCUACAAUCUGAA
rnacentral:snoRNA from 1 species